UAAAAAUGUAUUAGCAAAUUACAUUUAUAGAGUAGGAAUAUUAAAAUAGGAUUUGUAGAUGUGGAGGUUAAUAUAAUAAUGCAAUCGGUAGAAGUACAUUGUCUUUAUAGGUGUUCUAUGACAAUGCAUUACAAAAGUACAGUUAUUUUUAAAUGAACAAUGAUGGAGUGAUAAUAAAUUUAUGUGCCUAAAAUCAUUUAUAUCUUUUUUUGUCUAAUUCAGUAUAACCAGAUUCAUUAAAUUAUUUCCAUAUAUAUAAACUCUGUCGCAUACUCCUGAAAUUUAUCAUUUUCAUUUAAAUAUUAGUUUGUAUAUGUCAUAUUCGCAAUAAAAUUUUAUUACUAAUUACGAAAGAAAGCAAUGUCAAAACGACAUUCGUGUACGAAGCUGAAUGUAUAUUACAUAGAGAAUAUAUCUUCAAAAAAUCCUUAAGAGAUUUGACGGGAAAGGCUUAUUCAGGCUUCGAUAACGACAGACAUAAAUGUCUGCUGUACUUCCUAUUCAUUCUAGGAGCAAUAGAUAUACGAAAUAUGUUACAUAUUGCAAUAAACGACAGUUACUUUUUAAUACAGUAGUUCAAUAUCGAAAUAUCUUCUGUAAGUCAUUUUCUUCGUAUUAAAAUAAGUAAUAGAAAUUUCCGUCAGAUAUACUCAAAUUGCAGUCUUAUAGAUACUAAUCGUUAAAAAGAAACUAUGUGGAAUCAACUUAAGAGAUUAAACAUAAUAGCAAAGUUGUAUAUAGCUCCACUUAAUUUUGCAAUAAUCGAGUACAAUAGCGCUAAUGAUUCUAAAAAUACUAUCCAAGUGCUUCACUAAAGGAAACUUAGACACUCUUAAAAUUCUUUUAUCUGUUACCUUAAUUAAAUAUAUAGGCUAAUAAUAAUAUAACGUGUUCAUUUACUUUUUACAACUGCUUUCUCAGUCGUCAAAUUUAAUAGAAUUGACGCUAGUAUCUAUUUGACCACCCCGGUAGCUACCGCGCUUUUUCUUCGUUUUCUCGUGACGAAAUGACUUUCCCCUUGUGAAUUUGAGGUCUUGAUUCGCUUUCUCUCCCCAAGAACCACGAGCGCCUUUCUGUGAAACAAAAAUUCCAUAUAAUAAUAUUCACUUACUACAUAAACUUUUAUUUAGAUACUUGGCUAUUUUGAA
rnacentral:misc_RNA from 1 species